UUGAAAAGUGCGGGGAUGAGGUGUGGGUAGCGGUGAAAUGCCAAUCGAUUGAAAAGUGCGGGGAUGAGGUGUGGGUAGCGGUGAAAUGCCAAUCGAACCUGGAGAUAGCUGGUUCUCCCCGAAAUAGCUUUAGGGCUAGCCUCGAGGUUGAGAGUUCUGGAGGUAGAGCACUGAUUGGACUAGGGGCCCCCACAGGGUUACCGAAUUCAGUUAAACUCCGAAUGCCAGCAACUUAUACUCGGGAGUCAGACUGCGAGUGAUAAGAUCCGUAGUCAAGAGGGAAACAGCCCAGACCGCCAGCUAAGGUCCCMAAGURUAYGUUAAGUGGAAAAGGAUGUGGMGYUGCYUAGACARCYAGGAUGUUGGCUYAGAAGCAGCCAYCAUUYAAAGAGUGCGUAAUAGCUCACUAGUCGAGUGGCGCCGCGCCGAAAAUGUAACGGGGCUAAACAUACCACCGAAGCUGCGGAUUCCGUAAGGAAUGGUAGGGGAGCGUUCCAAACCGCUGUGAAGCUGUACCGGAAGGAGCAGUGGAGCGYUURGAAGUGAGAAUGCCGGURUGAGUAGCGAAAAGAGGGGUGAGAAUCCCCUCCGUCGAAAGCCCAAGGUUUCCUGAGGAAGGCUCGUCCGCUCAGGGUUAGUCUGGACCUAAGCCGAGGCCGAAAGGCGUAGACGAUGGAGAACAGGUUGAUAUUCCUGUACCRCCKAUACAYCGUUUGAACRAUGGGGGGACGCAGGAGGAUAGUGACGCAUGCGGAUGGAAGUGCAUGUGCAAGUUUCAAGACCGUCUGAUUGGCAAAUCCGUCAGGCAYMAMAGUCAAGGAACGACGCGGAGUCCCGUAGGGACGUAGGUCACGAUUUCACACUGCCAAGAAAAGCCUCUAGUGAGGGGGAAGGCGCCAGUACCGUAAACCGACACAGGUAGGCGAGAUGAGAAUUCUAAGACGCGCGGGAUAACUCUCGUUAAGGAACUCGGCAAAAUGGUCCCGUAACUUCGGGAGAAGGGACGCUCUACAYRWGUAGAGCCGCAGUGAAUAGGCCCAAACGACUGUUUAGCAAAAACACAGGUCUCUGCUAAAUCGCAAGAUGACGUAUAGGGGCUGAC
rnacentral:rRNA from 1 species